ACGAAAAUUUCGUGUCCCCUUCUCUUCAGCAAGAGAGAUGAGCAGUACAAAAACAAAGCAGAUUCCCCACUCGGAGGACGCACAAAAACGACCCCAUCAGCUUUUCUUGCGUUUCUGAGAAAAAUUCAGUAACCCUUCAACUAUCUUCAUCAGAAACAUACACACACGAACAAAAAAAGGAGCGAGAGUGAAAAUUUAGGACGACUUUCAUUCCAAAAAUCCAAAGAAACAGAGGGUCUGGGGGAAGAAUCUUAGGAGUUUGAAAAAAAUAGUUUUCUAUAAUUUGUGAUUUGAUUUUCUUCUUCUAAAAUUCUAAAAAAUCAGAACAUGUUUCUGUUUUGAGAUGAAGAAGACUUGGCUUCAGGUGGUCGUUUCAUCAAAAAAUGUUGUUUAUCAUCUUUGAUUUCGAUUUGGUUUGAAAAAAUGGAUCUGAGCUGAGGUUCGAAGCUGGUUUAAAUCAUCACCGAGGUUGUUGACAGUUCGUUGAGGUUUCUGCUCUAGGUACGGUGGCGGAUCGGCCUUUGAUCUAGUUUUCUCUUAGAUUUUUAUUUGUGUAUCAGGUAUAUACUUUCAAUUCGAAAUGCUGCAAAUGUCGUUGGAUGAGCUAUUAUUGAAAAUGUGUAAUAAUUUUUCCUUUUUCACUCUGCAAAUUUCGGUAUUCAAGUUCCUUUUUCUCUGUUUCAUUUCGUCACUUAGGUGACAAUUAUAUGCUUCAGUUUCAGUAGCUGUUCAAUGAUAUGAUAUUGUG
rnacentral:lncRNA from 1 species